rnacentral:rRNA from 2 species
GUAGCAAGGUUAACCGCAUAGGGGAGCCGUAGGGAAACCGAGUCUUAACUGGGCGUGUAGUUGCUAGCAUUAGACCCGAAACCGAGUGAUCUAGCCAUGGGCAGGUUGAAGGUUGAGUAACAUCAACUGGAGGACCGAACUCACUAACGUUGAAAAGUUAGGAGAUGACCUGUGGCUAGGGGUGAAAGGCCAAUCAAACUCGGAGAUAGCUGGUUCUCCCCGAAAGCUAUUUAGGUAGCGCCUCGGACGAACACUACUGGGGGUAGAGCACUGUUAAGGCUAGGGGGUCAUCCCGACUUACCAACCCUUUGCAAACUCCGAAUACCAGUAAGUGCUAUCCGGGAGACACACGGCGGGUGCUAACGUCCGUCGUGGAGAGGGAAACAACCCAGACCGCCAGCUAAGGUCCCAAAGUUAUCGCUAAGU